rnacentral:rRNA from 1 species
CGGCGUGCCUAAUACAAUGCAAGUCGAGCGAUGAGGUCUCCUUCGGGAGACACAUCAGCGGCGAACGGGUGAGUAACACGUAGGCGACCUGCCCCGAAAGGCGGGGAUAACCCUUGGAAACAGGGGCUAAUACCCGAUAUGUUCGACAGUUCGUUCUGUCGAGUAAAGCUCCGGCGCUUCGGGAUGGGCCUGCGUCCCAUCAGCUAGUUGGUAGGGUAAUGGCCUACCAAGGCGAAGACGGGUAGGGGGCGUGAGAGCGCGACCCCCCACACUGGCACUGAGACACGGGCCAGACUCCUACGGGAGGCAGCAGUAAGGGAUAUUGCGCAAUGGACGAAAGUCUGACGCAGCGACGCCGCGUGGGUGAUGAAGGCCUUCGGGUCGUAAAGCCCUUUUCUGGGGGAAGAGAAAGGACGGUACCCCAGGAAUAAGCCCCGGCUAACUACGUGCCAGCAGCCGCGGUAAAACGUAGGUGGGCGAGCGUUAUCCGGAUUUACUGGGCGUAAAGAGCGUGGAGGCGGCUCUGUAAGUUGGACGUGAAAGCCCCCGGGCCUAACCCGGGGAGGUCGUUCAAUACUGCGGAGCUUGAGGGCAGCAGAGGGAGGUGGAAUUCCCGGUGGUAGCGGUGAAAUGCGUAGAUUAUCGGGAGGAACACCAGUGGCGAAGGCGGCCUCCUGGACUGUUCCUGACGCUGAAGGCGAAAGCUAGGGGAGCAAACGGGAUUAGAAACCCCGGUAGUCCUAGCCGUAAACGAUGGAUGCUAGAUGUAGGGGGUAUAGAUUCCCUCUGUGUCGAAGCUAACGCGUUAAGCAUACCGCCUGGCGAGGUAGCCGGCUCAAGGCUAAAACUCCAA